CCCUUAGAUGUUCUGGACCGCACGCGCGCUACACUGAGCCCUUCAUCGAGUUUACAACCUUGGCCGGUAGGUCUGGGUAAUCUUCUCAAAGGGGCUCGUGCUGGGGAUAGAUUAUUGUAAUUUUUAAUCUUCAACGAGGAAUUCCUAGUAAACGCAAGUCAACAGCUUGCAUUGAUUACGUCCCUGCCCUUUGUACACACCGCCCGUCGCUACUACCGAUUGAAUGGCUUAGUGAGCCCGAGGGACUGUUGCACCUAGAGGGUUUUCUCUCCAGGAGCAGCCGGGAACUCGGUCAAACUUGAUCAUUUAGAGGAAGUAAAAGUCGUAACA
rnacentral:rRNA from 1 species